UCAUUUUGGUUUACGUGAUAAGUUAUGAGAUGUUUUUAAUAAAUAUUAAAUAUUACUUUAAAGAAAAAUAAUGGAUGCAUAUUCAAAACCUGAAUACCCUAACAAUUCCAUCAACAUAUUUAAAAUAGAAAAGACUAUUUGAAAAAUUUUCUUGCAUACUAAUUACACCAAAACUGCUGUGAGCUUAUUUUUUGCAUAUUGCUUUUGUCAGUUGCUUGAAUGUAAUAGAUUUUGAAAGAAUGUUUACAACCUGUACUUUGAAUUUAUUGUGUGUGUAACAGAUUUAUCCUUUUCUGACAAAUGUUAAUUCUCAAUCAGUCAACUGAAUGUCAAUUCAGUUAGAAAAUGUAAUAUUUUUUUAUUUAAAUUGAUUAACUGGGUUCUUUAAUGUAGAACAGUUUUCAGACAAAUUGUGAGAAAUUUAUGACUGUUGACAAUGGGAACAAAAGAUAAUUUGCAAAACUUUGACACUUUUGACAUAAAAUAUAUUAGUAUGUAAGUGCAUUAACUAUUUCAUUUGAUCAAAUGUUAGAUAUUCUUUAUUAGGAAAAUAGAAAUAUAUAGUGGGAAUUAAUUGUGCUCAUAGUUCUUGACCAAUUUAUUUUCUUCAGGUUAUUGGAAAUAGAACAACUAGAAUUUUGAGAGGUCUAGAGCAUGGAAGAAUAGAAGUAGUAUGAAAGAUUGGGGGUACAGAAUGAACAGAGAGAGCAAAUGGUACAUUUGAAAUCAUGCAUAAUUUAAUAGAGGACCUAAGAGGGUCUCAAAGUCUGAUUAGUCAUGGCCACCUUCAGGAAACGAAGUAUGAAUUUUACAGCCAACGAAAAGAAGCUGCUGAUAAAUUUGGUGAAAGAAUACAGAUCAGUCAUCGAAGACAAGAGAAAUGAUGCUUCGGCACUUCAGAAGAAAGAAGAGACCUGGCAUGAGUUGUGUUCGAAAUACAAUAGUCGCCAUGGAGUUAAUAAAAGAAGUGUAGGACAGCUGCAAAGAUGCUGGAAGAACAUGAAGGCCAGGUCCAAAAUCACUGUGGCCAUGGAGAUGGAAGACAAGAAAGACGAUAACAACUUUGAAAUUAAGGAGGAACGAACCGAAUCUGAUCUGGCUUCCAAGCCUGCUUAUGAUUUGGACAUCGUUUAUCCCAGCGAUGGAGAGACUUCUGGCAACACUCGUGAGGAAUUAUCUCCUUCACCCUCAGCUGAGAUGCCCUCCUAUUCAUCCGACUCAUCAGGGAUUGUCUACAAUGUGCCCUAUUCUGUGCCAGUCAAUGGGAAGAGAGAAGAGGGUGACUCUCUGGACACCGAUGGGAUGCCUAACCAUUCUCCCUCUGACAAUAGGAAUGAAAAUGCCUCCCCGGAGGAGUGGGACUGUCUGAGACGUCAGGAGCACACCAGCAAGAUGAAGCUGCUACAGAUGAAGAUGGACAUGGCACGAACUGAACAUGCUGCAGUCAUGAAGGUGUAUGGAGCCCAGCUUCAGUACUGGCAACUUAGAACUCAGCAGUUGUUGGGCAAUCAUCAGGACACUUGACCAUCUUCCUUCUUCUUGAUGGUCUUUUAUAGCAGAUCUGGGCUGUGCUGUUUAGGUGGAAAGUAGCCAGAAGAUCAAGGUUCUGCGCAUCUAGUUUUUGCCAUCUUAAUUAUAUUAAUAUGGAAUUGGUGAAGAUCUUCCUUUCCAUCAGCUGAUUUCUAAGACUUCUGGUAGAAAUAAGCAUUGUGAAAUGACACUUAGGCAUUUUGUAAACUGAUCAUAAUGACAGAAUUCCCUCAGGUUUAAAUUAUUUUAUCAGUAUUUCAUAAAAACCAAAGUUGAUCUCAGCAUUCCAACACCAAAUUUUAUUCCAAAUUAUUUUGUUCACUGUUUUCCUCUGGGUCUUCAGCUUUGGCUGUUUCCACCACACACCAUUUCCAACAUGUUCCACCUCUAUUUCUGACUUGAAAGAAAAUAAUUUUUGAUUGUGAAGCAAAUUGAUGAUCAACAAAAUGGAAUGUAGUCAUACUCUGGACUUAUUUUAUUGUUUCCAGCUUCUAAUUUUGGGUUGGGCAUGCAAGGAAAAUUCAACCAUAACUAAAAAGUUUGGUUUUUGAGAGCUGGAAAGUUUGUUUCUUGAAAGAUAAUGUUCUUAUUGACUUUAAAGCAGUUGAGAGUGGAUGGACAUGUAUUUAUUUCACUGACAUAUCUUGUCUUUUUACCUGUUUCAUUUCCACUUGAUGAUCUUAUCUGAUUUUUGCACAGAAACAGAAAAGUUGAGUGUUGAACUAGCUGAUUUUCUAUUCUAAUUCCAAAUUUUUUUCAAGCAGAACAUAGUCUACAGGUGGAUAGUUUCAGGUGGAUUUGCACUUCCACUUAAUGUCUGCCUAAAAUUUUGGUAGUUCCUGAAAUGACCAUGGCCUAAUAGAAUAUUCUAGUGCAUGGAAACUAGUGGAGUGGUUCAAAAAAUGGGAUGUAUUUUGCAGAAUUGGAUCCACUUAAAAAUCAAGAGUGUGAUGGAGAAUCAAGUAAAAAUAAAAUAAAAUCUGAAGGAAUUCUGUUAAGAAGGCAAAUUCUGGUCCAUGCAGUGCACUUUGAAAUGUUAAGAAGCAAUUCAGGAAAUUUUCUUUGGCCAAUAGUUUUUUCUAUAAACUGUUGCUAAUUUCUUUUAUAUAGAGGUGAAGUCUCCACUCAGUCUUCCUACUUUGAAAGGAAAGCCAGAUUUCACUCCUGUGUACAGCCCAAGAAGGCUAUGAGUGAGAAAGCUAUUCUAGUCUAGUAGGAAACUCCAUUUUUUAGGAACCUAGAAAAAGUCUGAAGAGGAGGAGGGAAAUGGAAAAUGGUCAAGAUAAACCUCAGUCACCAGAUUAUGUGACUAAAAGAAGUGGAAAGGUCACUGGUGUUAUGAGUAUCUGGAAACAAAACUAAAAAACAAGUUUAGUUACUGAAUUUUAUAAGAAUUAGUAAAGUCAAGUUCAUUAUUCUGGUGACUUGAUCAGCUCCACAUCUGGAUUCCUUCAGAGGUUUUUUCUUUGAUUCCACCUCCAGAUUACUUACCUACAAAUAAGUUUUAGCAGGUGGAAGAUUAUGGCCACUUUCCUUUUCCACCUCA
rnacentral:misc_RNA from 1 species